rnacentral:lncRNA from 1 species
AAUAAAAAUAAAAAAUUAUAAUUUUAAAUUUAAAAAAAUAAAAAUUUUAAAUUUAAUUGAAAUAAAUUUUAAUUCAAAAAAAUGAAAUAAGAAUUUUAAUUUUAAUUCAAAUAAUUUUUUUUUAAAAAAAAGAAAACGAAUCCGUAUCAUCUCCGUACCGAUCAGUAUCGGUGCCAUACCGGCUUAAAUUACCCAACAUAUUAUUAUUAUUUACGUUAUAAUUUUUAUAGCACUUUUAGCAU